UAUCUACUUCCUCCGUCGAAAUUACUUGUCGGAUAAAUGAAUAAAAAUGGAUGUAUCCCUUUCCAAACCCACCUUGUGUGGGAGCUUCUAUGCACUCGGUGUGUUCUUUAUCUAGAACUAAAAUACAUCUAGAUACAUUUAUUCUCAUGACAAGUAUUUUCGGACGGAGGGAGUAUAUA
rnacentral:pre_miRNA from 1 species